AAACGAUGAUUCUUCGACAUCAGCGAUACACUGUUGGUGUUUGAGCGAAAGCAUUUAAGUAAUCCACCUGGGAAGUACGGUUGCAAGAUUGAAACUCAAAGGAAUUGACGGGGGUCUGCACAAGCGGUGGAGCAUGUGGUUUAAUUCGAUGAUACGCGAGGACCCUUACCUGGGCUAGAAUGCAAUUUGACCGUGGGUGAAAGCUCAUUUUGUAGCAAUACACAGAUUGUAAGGUGCUGCAUGGCUGUCGUCAGCUCGUCCUCUAAGGUGUUGGGUUAAGUCCCGCAACGAGGGCAACCUUCUUUCACUAGUUGCCAUCAGGUAAUGCUGAAAACUCUAGUGAANCUACAAACCGUAAGGCGUGAGGAAGGAGGGGAUGAUGUCAAGUCAUCAUGGCCUUUAUGCCCAGGGCUACACACGUGCUACAAUGGCGGGUACAAAGGGUUGCUACCUGGUAACAGGAUGCUAAUCUCAAAAA
rnacentral:rRNA from 1 species